rnacentral:rRNA from 1 species
AGAGCGAACGCUGGCGGCAUGCUUAACACAUGCAAGUCGCACGGUCAGCAAUGGCAGUGGCGGACGGGUGAGUAACGCGUAGGAAUCUAUCCAGAGGUGGGGGACAACUGUGGGAAACUACAGCUAAUACCGCAUGUUACCUGAGGGUUAAAGGCGCAAGUCGCCUUUGGAGGAGCCUGCGUCUGAUUAGCUUGUUGGUGGGGUAAAGGCUUACCAAGGCGACGAUCAGUAGCUGGUCUGAGAGGAUGAUCAGCCACAUUGGGACUGAGACACGGCCCAAACUCCUACGGGAGGCAGCAGUGGGGAAUAUUGGACAAUGGGCGCAAGCCUGAUCCAGCAAUGCCGCGUGGGUGAAGAAGGUCUUCGGAUUGUAAAGCCCUUUUGGCAGGGACGAUGAUGACGGUACCUGCAGAAUAAGCCCCGGCUAACUUCGCGCCAGCAGCCGC